CUGCGGCCAUUCCGGGAUGAGCGACGGAGUCACGGUGGCCGCGGACUGACUGGCACGACCUCCAUCGCACCGUGCGGAGCCCGCCGGCCGCCGCACGGCCCCUAGAACGGGAGAGAACGCUGAGCGUUACGAC
rfam:Corynebacterium frankenforstense DSM 45800 strain ST18, complete genome.